UUGAAUGAUACGUUGCCAUGGGGGAACCUGAACCACUUCAAUCAUUCUUCGAUCCAUGUCUGAAGUCACCAGUGUUUCCCAUUGCUGUCAGCGAUGGUCUUGCUAACUUUUGAUCCCCAAGAGCCUUUCUUUGAAGAGAAAUCUUUUUUUUUUUUUUUCCCCAUUCUCUGACUUUUUACAUUCUCUGUUUUACUAAGGCCAGUUAUUAAAAUGUUUGUGGGGUCAGUAAUGUCAGUUGUGGAUACGAUUAUUUUUAAUGAUGUUUUUAUACAAGCAAGAAAUCCAGGUAACACAGUUAUCUGGCAAGAGCUUGUUGCCAGUACAACUCACUCCAUUCCAGCUAUGCUGGCAAGAAGCACUCUUUUUUUUUUUUUUGCUGCUUCAAGCUACGUCUGAGUCUGAAGACACAGUUCGCUGGUCUAGCUGCAUCAGCCACCUUUUUCUAACAUAGGCUAAACCUGGAACAUUGCUUCAUGCAGAAUAGCAAGUUUGCAGCCAAUGUGAACUAGUGGCUGUAUUCAAAGGUCUGCUAAGGUCAGGAAACGUGGAGCUGAGAGUAAGUACAAAUGGUUUGUGGACCUCUUACCAGGUAUGGCUGCUCAAAGGGACACAAGCAGACCACUUCAGAGCAAACCGCUACAGCCAAAGGAAUGGGAAAAAAAUGAACGCCUUCAUCUUUUUAAAAGUGUCUCUCUUUGUUCAUGCUCUGCUGAGUCUUUCUGUGAGAAAUGGAUAUUGUGAAGUAGCUUCAUACAGCCUAGAUGCAGCCUAGAACAACCAUCUAGAGUUGACCGUGGUGCCUGCCCUCUCGCAGUGCUGGCACUCGUGACCUGUAAUACUUCCCUGGGCCAUAAUCUGCAAAAUAAAAUUGAAAACCUCUGAUUUUCUCUCUCUUUCAGUGAGUCAAGAAACUGCUAGCUUCUCCUCUUGAAGGUUAACAGAAUUUGAACAUUUUAUGCUGAUCACCUCAUCCAUAAGCUAACAAAAGGCUUAUCUGUUUCUUUUCCAGUGUAAUUGACAAUCCUCUUUAGAUGCAUGUUCAGCAUUUCAAGACUAACUUAAAGGUCAAAUUUAUCAUACAGGAAGAUUGGAUGAGCUCAUGGUUGAGGAAAGACCAUCUAAAGGUGACUUGUCUAACAUAUCGGUACACACGCACAAAGCCCACACACAUUUCUUUUUGGUCUAGCCUUGUCUCAGACAUCACCUGUGUGCCAGGAGUCUCAGGACAAAGCUGUACUAAAAAUGUUACAGGUGGGUUGAAUUUGGCACCUGGAAUAUAAGAGAAUAAUAAGGGUCUGAAUGAAGGAGAUAUAUUCAGAAAUGGACAGAGCAGAAUUUCAUUCUUCUGACCCUUCUUACCUGAAAUCUCAAUUACUCCAGACUGCUGAAGUACCCUGUUUGUCUUCAAGCAGUUUACUCCCAAAUUUUAUGUAUCCAAGCAUGGAUCUGUGCCGCACCAGAGAAAGCGUGCAGACCCCUACAUCUCCCUGCACACGUCUGUGCUCAGCACAGGCACUGCAACAGCCGAUAAGGGUACCUGAAACAAAGCCUGGGGACUCUCGUAGCCCGCACAGGGACAGUCAUCAGCAAACACUGGCCUGUGACACCGUGCACCCUGGGCACGUGCUAAGCCUUGCUCAGAGCACAGCUCCCAGAGAAAGUAAGUACUGCAUGUGCUCGGCUUCUUCACACAAAAUUAAUGUACAAAACUCAGAGUAUGAUAAAACUGUAGGCACAGGUGAAAGUGUGAACUGCGUAGGGGAGAUGGAUAACUUCCCCAAGUUAAAAUCAGUAUCUUCAGCAGCAGCCCCUCCACCCUAUUUGGUAGGGGAUGCAGACUCUCCUGUUGGGAAAUGGUGAUCAGCUAAAAGUCCCUUUCCCCUGGGGAUUUCUCUGUUGCAUCCCACAGACUUUUUGGCCGAGUGUCAGUUUUCAGGCCCUCCACCCUCCUCCUGGCAGAACCACAGGUGGUGGCCACAGAAGAGGAAUUUGGAGCUAGAAGCUGGUUUUCCACUGAGACGCUUCAACAACUAUCAGCUCUCGCAUGCACGUUUCCAAGGCAGGACCUCCACACUAUCUGCCCUCCCACCUGUCCCAUCCUCCUCCUGUGAGCCUAAUCUCGUGCCACACUUGUCCCCCUGGUCUCCAUGCCGCCUGCCGCACCCAGCCUUGGCUGGAUGCCCAUGGCCGUGGGGCCCUGGAAACCCCAAAAUUGGCAGCAGCCUCUGACCGCUGGUGCGUCAGCCAGCCCAGCAGCUGGAGGACACCUGCCCCACACCCUCAGGAAGGUCCUCGUGCAGAACGAGGAGUGCCACCACGUGUUGCCACGAGGAACUGGGAGGGAAGAGCAGCCAGAUGAAAUUCAGUAGACAAAGGUGCAUGGCACCAUGCUGAGGAAGGAGAGAUCAGCUAUGCGUACGCCAAGUGGGGCACGAGCAGCAGCACUGGAAAAAAGGUGCUGUGGGUAGUAAUGAGCUAGAAACUGUCUGAGCUCCUGCCGUGGGGUUGUGGCACGGGGGCAGUCCUGGAUGCUGGAGCCGGCCGGGAGAAGAGCAACAAGACUGAGCAGAGCCAGUGAGAAUGGGGACCUAUGGGAGAAGGCUGAUUUUAUUUGUUAGAACAGGUUGAGAGGGGACACAGACUGCCCUUUACAUAGAAGAUUACUAAAAAAAAAGCCUUCCUGCCCACUAAGGAGAGGACAUAGCUGCAUUUCACGUGCAGCAAAUGUAGGUUAUGUUCUCCUAGCUAUGAGGGUAAUUAAGAGAUUUCCUAGAAGUGUGGACUUUUCUUCAUUAAGGGUGUUUUGGGGAGCAAAACGUUUGCCUAGAUUUUCCUUGGCCCUGCCUCAGAGCAGGAGGAUGAUCUCCUGAGGUGCCUUCUAACCUCAUGCUCCUAUGGCUUGCCUUAAAGAGUUAAAACAGCUUUAAAAACAAAACAAAAAGCACAGAGGCUUCUGCCCUUUCCUACCUGAGGCACAUGUCUCUAUGUACAGUAGCAAAUUGUUAGCUUUUCUCCCGGUUUGAGUGUAACAGGUAUUGAGUAAUGUUGUCCUGGUGUGUUGACGCGUGAGCCAGGGUGUGCCCUGGACCCCAGAGAGGUAUUGAUGUAGCACAACCGCCUGCUAAAAGUCUGGUAUUUGGUUUCCUUCUGCUCUCUAGCGUCUUGCUUUGCCCCCCAAGAAGCUGCAUGUUGUCCUAAUUCGCUCUCCAGGCACGUCUCACUACAAACAGAAGUUGCUCUCUCCUGUUCCUGGUGAGACUCAAAGCUCUGAGAAGAUGUCCUGCCCCGUAGGUUUCCUUUUCCUGAUGAAAGCCAGUGCAGAAAGUGCUCCUCUUGGGACACCACAUGCUCCAGCAUCUGUUGACCCCUCUCAUGGGUGGGUACCUGCAAAUCUGAAGGACCAGAAGUAUAAAUGCAGGUGAAAAGGCAGAUAUUCCUGCAGCGGGUCAGGUUUGUUUCAGAGGUGGCCAGCUUCCCCCACCGAGGGCAUGUGUUGGCCAUUCCAGCAGGGAGGACCGGCUGGACCAGGAGAAGAUGUAAGCAGCAAAGCCCCACUGACCGUGAGCAGCAGGGCUGGCAUGGGCAGAGACACAGGAGGCACGGCAGGGAGACGCAACUUUGGGUGAGAACUUGCUUAUCAGAAAACCCAGGCCCUGGAGAAAGACACAGCCUGAAGCCAUUUGGGGUGUCCCCAUCGCUGCUGCCAGGCCACCAAGACUGGUGGCUGGCAGGGCGUCCCACUGGGUUGGGAGGAGCCGGCAACUGUGGGCAAAGCUCAGGCACUCGAGCCAGCGUGUGAUGGGCUGUGCAGGAGGACAGCAGGGAUGCUCAUGGCAGGAUCGGCCUCCUCUCCUGCCGGCAAAGAAGAGCGGCCGCUGCCUCCUUGCUUUGCUGUGGGGCCAGCAGUAACCCCCCCAACAGGGGCCUGGCAUAGUCAGCCAGGAACUUGUACCAGACUUGGGCUCCCAGACAGAAAAAACAAACCAUUGCGUGUUCAAUGUUUACAUUAGAUGUUUAUUUUACAGUUCAUUUCACAAUCCGUUUCUCUUCUCCCUUUGCUGCGAGUUGAUUUAUGGUGCUGCAAUUCCUAUCUGCCUGCCCUGCCCAGAGCAUGGACUUGGAGAAAAGCCUGUCAGGGGUCUCUCCUUGUCGUCGUUGCCGUUUUGUCUACAACUGCCCUUACCUAUGAGUUAAACUAGAGCAGUUUCUUCCAAACAGCAAUAAAUGAGUUUCCUGCUCCCUUGUGCUUGUAUUGGUGUUUUGAGGGGUGGGCAGCUCAGGGUCUCUGAAGAAAACAAGAGCAAACAAACAUGGUGCAAAGGGCUGCCCUGAGCUUCCCUCCGGCUGGCUUCUCCCCUGGCUGGACUGGUGGGGUGUUGAGGACUCCUGGCACGCUGUGGGACCGCAGACCCUGCGCCCCAUCCACUGUGCCCCUCGAUGAUGAGGCGCCGUACCUGGCUGCGGGGCAAGUCCCCAGGCUCUUGGGAUGGCCAGUGACCGCGGGAGGUGGCUGGUCCCUGCCCGCCCUGUACCAUAAGGGACUGUCAGGGGCUGCUGGGAUUAACCGGGAUUACUUGCUCCAUGGCCUUUCCUCCACAGUUGAACGUGCAAAAAAGAUGCACUGCAUUUUACUGAGAAAAUAAGAGAUCUGAUCUGAAGAUUUGGUGGGAAAUCCCUGAGUAAAACUUGGCCUUCCUUGCUGGCUGCGUGCUUUGGAGAAGGAAAGGGAUUCACCGCUUCCUUGUACAGAGCCAGGUGCUCCCCAUGAAUAACUGGACCCAACCUAAAAGCAGAAGGAAGUAUAUUUAAAAAAACAGAGGUGUGGUAAUGACACUAUCGUGCUUUAUGUGCGUUGUGUAAUCCGUGAUGUGUGUGCGGCUCCUUAAGAGCCUGCUCCCCAGUCACGGCUAAAUCACACCUUGAAAACAACAAUAAAAUCCUAAUAAGUUGA